rnacentral:rRNA from 1 species
GAGAGGACGACCAGCCACACAGGAACUGAGACACGGUCCAGACUCCUACGGGAGGCAGCAGUGGGGAAUUUUGGACAAUGGGCGAAAGCCUGAUCCAGCAAUGCCGCGUGCAGGAUGAAGGCCUUCGGGUUGUAAACUGCUUUUGUACGGAACGAAACGGUCUGCCUUAAUACGGUGGGCUAAUGACGGUACCGUAAGAAUAAGCACCGGCUAACUACGUGCCAGCAGCCGCGGUAAUACGUAGGGUGCGAGCGUUAAUCGGAAUUACUGGGCGUAAAGCGUGCGCAGGCGGUUAUAUAAGACAGAUGUGAAAUCCCCGGGCUCAACCUGGGACCUGCAUUUGUGACUGUAUAGCUAGAGUACGGUAGAGGGGGAUGGAAUUCCGCGUGUAGCAGUGAAAUGCGUAGAUAUGCGGAGGAACACCGAUGGCGAAGGCAAUCCCCUGGACCUGUACUG